rnacentral:rRNA from 1 species
AUUGAACGCUGGCGGCAGGCCUAGCACAUGCAAGUCGAGCGGAUGAGUGGAGCUUGCUCCAUGAUUCAGCGGCGGACGGGUGAGUAAUGCCUAGGAAUCUGCCUGGUAGUGGGGGACAACGUUUCGAAAGGAACGCUAAUACCGCAUACGUCCUACGGGAGAAAGUGGGGGAUCUUCGGACCUCACGCUAUCAGAUGAGCCUAGGUCGGAUUAGCUAGUUGGUGAGGUAAAGGCUCACCAAGGCGACGAUCCGUAACUGGUCUGAGAGGAUGAUCAGUCACACUGGAACUGAGACACGGUCCAGACUCCUACGGGAGGCAGCAGUGGGGAAUAUUGGACAAUGGGCGAAAGCCUGAUCCAGCCAUGCCGCGUGUGUGAAGAAGGUCUUCGGAUUGUAAAGCACUUUAAGUUGGGAGGAAGGGCAGUAAGUUAAUACCUUGCUGUUUUGACGUUACCAACAGAAUAAGCACCGGCUAACUUCGUG